AAUGAAGGUGGAAACAAGCUCAAGAUGGUGGUUAGAUGUUGUAUUAAGCAAGGCAAUGUUGAGUUCUUUGACAAUUGUUGACAGAUUUUGAAAAUGGCAAGAGAUGAGAUUUUGAGAGAGUGAGUUUUUUCUGUUCUUUCUGUGGCUGCUAGGGUUUCUUUCAGAGAGAAAAUGAUGUAUAUAUACUCUGUUUAAUGGUACUAAUCAAGGUUAAUGAAAAAGUGGAAUUGGAGUUGGUAA
rnacentral:lncRNA from 1 species